GACGAACGCUGGCGGCGUGCUUAACACAUGCAAGUCGAACGGAGAUUAUUAAUGAAGCUUGCGAUUUAAUAAUCUUAGUGGCGGACGGGUGAGUAACGCGUGGGCAACCUACCCAUAAGCGGGGGAUAACAGUUGGAAACGACUGCUAAUACCGCAUAAGCUAUUGAGGUCGCAUGACCUAAAUAGUAAAGGUGGCGAAAGCUAUCACUUAUGGAUGGGCCCGCGUCUGAUUAGCUAGUUGGUGGGAUAGCAGCCUACCAAGGCAACGAUCAGUAGCCGGCCUGAGAGGGUGGACGGCCACACUGGGACUGAGACACGGCCCAGACUCCUACGGGAGGCAGCAGUGGGGAAUAUUGCGCAAUGGGGGAAACCCUGACGCAGCGACGCCGCGUGAGCGAAGAAGGCCUUAGGGUCGUAAAGCUCUGUUGUAAGGGACGAAUGUUUAUCUGGCGAACAGUCAGAUAAAGUGACGGUACCUUACCAGCAAGCCCCGGCUAACUACG
rnacentral:rRNA from 1 species